rnacentral:rRNA from 1 species
GGAAAGGUGAAAAGCACCCCGGGAGGGGAGUGAAAGAGAACCUGAAACCCUGUGCUUACAAGCACUUAGAGCACGUCAAAGUGUGAUAAGGUACCUAUUGUAGAAUGGUCCGGCGAGUUAUUGUAUGCAGCGAGGUUAAGUAGUUCAGCUACGGAGCCGAAGUGAGAGCGAGUGUUAACAGCACGUUCAGUUGCAUGCAAUAGACCCGAAACCGGGUGACCUAUCCAUGUCCAGGAUGAAGUGAGGGUAAAACCUCAUGGAGGUCCGAACCCACUCCCGUUGAAAUGGUAGGGGAUGAGGUGUGGAUAGCGGAGAAAUUCCAAUCGAACCCGGAUAUAGCUGGUUCUCCCCGAAAUAGUUUUAGGACUAGCCUCGUGAUCAAGAUUAUCGGAGGUAAAGCACUGAAUGGCCUAGGGGUCGAGAGAUUACCGAAGCCUAUCAAACUCUGAAUGCCGAAUAAUCAUGCACGGGAGUCAGACUGUGUGAGAUAAGUUUCAUAGUCGAAAGGGAAACAGCCCAGACCUACAGCUAAGGUCCCAAAGUACGUUUAAGUGGAAAACGAUGUGAAAUUGCGUAGACAACCAGGAUGUUGGCUUAGAAGCAGCCAUACAUUAAAAGAGUGCGUAAUAGCUCACUGGUCGAGUGACUUUGCGCGGAAAAUUUAACGGGGCUAAAACGUACACCGAAGCUUAGGCUUGCAACUAUGUUGCAGGGGUAGGGGAGCGUUGAAUGAGGGGUGAAGUCGUAGCGAAAGCGACGGUGGACUUCAUUCAAGUGAGAAUGCCGGAAUGAGUAGCGAGAAUUAUGUGAGAAUCAUAAUGGCCGAAAGACUAAGGUUUUAGAAGGAAGGUUCGUCCGCUUCUAGUUAGCCGGGAGCUAAGGCGAGGCCGAGAGGCGUAGUCGAUGCACAUACGGUUGAGAUUCCGUAGCUACCUUGCAUUUAAGCGAAGGGACACAUUUGAAGGGCAUGACCCGGGCGUUGGUUGACCCGGGCGUAAGGGACCGAAAAUAAGUAGGGAAGCAUGCUUGGAUGGUGGCGAGAAAAGCUUCGUGUAUAUAAGCAGGGUACCCGUACUGCAAACCGACACAGGUAGUCAGGAAGAGGAUUCUAAGGCCAUCGGGAGAAGCGUUGUUAAGGAACUCGGCAAAUUGACCCCGUAACUUCGGAAUAAGGGGUGCUCACGCGAGUGAGCCGCAGUGAAUAGGUCCAGGCAACUGUUUAUCAAAAACACAGCUCUCUGCUAAAUCGUAAGAUGACGUAUAGGGGGUGACACCUGCCCGGUGCUGGAAGGUUAAGAGGAGGGGUGCAAGCUCCGAAUUGAAGCCCCAGUAAACGGCGGCCGUAACUAUAACGGUCCUAAGGUAGCGAAAUUCCUUGUCGGGU